GGUUGGCUUAGAAGCAGCCAUCCUUUAAAGAAAGCGUAAUAGCUCACCGGUCGAGUGACUCGGUGCCGAAAAUGUACCGGGGCUAAGCCUGCCGCCGAAGCUGCGGAUUCAUAGGAACUCCGGUUCCUAUGAGUGGUAGGGGAGCGUUCUGUGUUGCUUGAAGUCAGACCGUAAGGACUGGUGGACGGCACAGAAGUGAGACUGCCAGCACGAGUAGCGAUAAAGAGGGUGAGAACCCCUCUCGCCGUAAGUCUAAGGUUUCCUGAGGAAGGUCAGUCCUCUCAGGGUUAGGCGGCCUCUUAGUCGAGGACGAAGGUCGUAGACGACGAGAAGCAGGUCAACAUUCCUGCCCCGCCUGAAUAACGUUUGACCGAAGGGGUGACGCAGGAGGGUAGCUCAGCCUGCGAUUGGAAGUGCAGGUUGCAAGCAAGUAGCCGGGGGGACCAGGCAAAUCCGGGCCCCCAUUUCAAACGGUGAGAUGUGAUGCCGAGGUCUUCGGACCGCAAAGUGAGUGAUCCCACGCUGCCAAGAAAAACCUCGUAGGGAGUAAUUCAGGCGACCGUACCGCAAACCGACACAGGUAGACAGGGAGAGAAUCCCAAGGCGAACGAGUUAACACUGGUUAAGGAACUCGGCAAAUUGGCUCCGUAACUUCGGGAGAAGGAGCGCCCCGUUAGCGUGAAGGACCUUGCGUCCGGAGCGUGAGGGGGUCACAGAAACCAGGCCCAGGCGACUGUUUACUAAAAACACAGGUCUCUGCAAAGUCGAAGUCGACGUAUAGGGACUGACGCCUGCCCGGUGCCGGAAGGUUAAGAGGACGGGUUAGCCCUCGGGCGAAGCUCAGAAUUGAAGCCCCGGUAAACGGCGGCCGUAACUAUAACGGUCCUAAGGUAGCGAAAUUCCUUGUCGGGUAAGUUCCGACCCGCACGAAUGGCGUAACGAUCUGGGCGCUGUCUCGACCAGUGGCUCGGCGAAACUGAAGUGCCGGUGAAGAUGCCGGCUACCCGCAGCUGGACAGAAAGACCCCGGCACCUUUACUACAACUUAGUACUGGGUUUUGGUAUGUCGUGUGCAGGAUAGGUGGGAGGCUUUGAAACCAGGCCGCUAGGUUUGGUGGAGCCAACCGUGAGAUACCACCCUCGUUAUGCCGGAACUCUAACCCAGGUCCGUUAUCCGGAUCGGGGACAGUGCUUGGUGGGUAGUUUAACUGGGGCGGUUGCCUCCCAAAGGGUAACGGAGGCGCCCAAAGGUUCCCUCAGGCUGUUUGGAAAUCAGCCGCAGAGUGUAAAGGCAUAAGGGAGCUUGACUGCGAGACUGACAAGUCGAGCAGGUGGGAAACCAGGGCUUAGUGAUCCGGCGGUUCCGUAUGGAAGGGCCGUCGCUCAUCGAAUAAAAGGUACGCCGGGGAUAACAGGCUUAUCUCCCCCAAGAGUUCA
rnacentral:rRNA from 1 species